CUUCUCUACAUGCUCUACAAUACACCUAGACAGUCUUACUUACCAAUUUUCAUACUAUAGUCUGUACCUUACAUUAUCCCCACUUCCUGAAAUCCUAUCUUCUGUAUAAUUGAAACUCUGUUACCCUAAAGGGGAAGUACAUUUCCUGAAACACCACUGAGUUCCUGUCAUCACAUACUUCCUGUAGACAAAGGAUAAAGGGAGUGGGUGUUGAGGCUCCUCUGUCUUUGGGCAUGAUACAGCAAUCAGCAGUGACAGUGAACUGUGGGGUCCUUCAAGAAUCAGGUCAAGAGCAGAACCAGGAGAACAUUAUACACAGUAACUGAAACAUCAUGGGACUUUGCUACUAAUAGGAAUGCAACGAUCCAGGUAAACCCCAAGGAACUUAGGAGAAAGAAAGCUAUCCACUUCCAAAGAACAAACCGCGAGUAGAAAUAGAGAAGAAAAACCUAUGAUUUAUCAUGUGGCUUGAUAGGUACAUGAUUUGAGGUUGUCCUGCUUGAUCACAUGGGUCAAUGGUGAUAUGAUUGGGGAUAAAGACUUUAAAUGAUCACCCUACUGCAAAUAUCAACAAUAUGGAAAUAGGUCUUGAUCAAUGACACGUGUAAAACCAGGAGGGCAGAGGGAGGGGAGGGAAAGAACAUGAAUUUUGUAAUCAUGGGAA
rnacentral:lncRNA from 1 species